UGGGGAAUAUUGCACAAUGGGCGCAAGCCUGAUGCAGCAACGCCGCGUGAACGAUGAAGGUCUUCGGAUCGUAAAGUUCUGUUGCAGGGGAAGAUAAUGACGGUACCCUGUGAGUAAGCCCCGGCUAACUACGUGCCAGCAGCCGCGGUAAUACGUAGGGGGCUAGCGUUAUCCGGAUUUACUGGGCGUAAAGGGUGCGUAGGUGGUCUUUCAAGUCGGUGGUUAAAGGCUACGGCUCAACCGUAGUUAGCCUCCGAAACUGGAAGACUUGAGUGCAGGAGAGGAAAGUGGAAUUCCCAGUGUAGCGGUGAAAUGCGUAGAUAUUGGGAGGAACACCAGUAGCGAAGGCGGCUUUCUGGACUGCAACUGACACUGAGGCACGAAAGCGUGGGUAGCAAACAGG
rnacentral:rRNA from 1 species